rnacentral:rRNA from 1 species
CAGCCGCCACGGGAAUACGUAGGGUGCGAGCGUUAAUCGGAAUUACUGGGCGUAAAGCGUGCGCAGGCGGUUGUGUAAGACAGGUGUGAAAUCCCCGGGCUUAACCUGGGAACUGCGCUUGUGACUGCACAGCUAGAGUAUGGCAGAGGGGGGUGGAAUUCCACGUGUAGCAGUGAAAUGCGUAGAGAUGCGGAGGAACACCGAUGGCGAAGGCAGCCCCCUGGGCCAAUACUGACGCUCAUGCACGAAAGCGUGGGGAGCAAACAGGAUUAGAUACCCGCGUAGUCCCUGUCUCUUAUAC